AGAGUUUGAUCCUGGCUCAGGACGAACGCUGGCGGCGUGCCUAAUACAUGCAAGUAGAACGCUGAAGAGAGGAGCUUGCUCUUCUUGGAUGAGUUGCGAACGGGUGAGUAACGCGUAGGUAACCUACCUUGUAGCGGGGGAUAACUAUUGGAAACGAUAGCUAAUACCGCAUAACAAUGGAUGACACAUGUCAUUUAUUUGAAAGGGGCAAUUGCUCCACUACAAGAUGGACCUGCGUUGUAUUAGCUAGUAGGUGAGGUAAUGGCUCACCUAGGCGACGAUACAUAGCCGACCUGAGAGGGUGAUCGGCCACACUGGGACUGAGACACGGCCCAGACUCCUACGGGAGGCAGCAGUAGGGAAUCUUCGGCAAUGGGGGCAACCCUGACCGAGCAACGCCGCGUGAGUGAAGAAGGUUUUCGGAUCGUAAAGCUCUGUUGUAAGUCAAGAACGGGUGUGAGAGUGGAAAGUUCACACUGUGACGGUAGCUUACCAGAAAGGGACGGCUAACUACGUGCCAGCAGCCGCGGUAAUACGUAGGUCCCGAGCGUUGUCCGGAUUUAUUGGGCGUAAAGCGAGCGCAGGCGGUUUGAUAAGUCUGAAGUUAAAGGCUGUGGCUCAACCAUAGUUCGCUUUGGAAACUGUCAAACUUGAGUGCAGAAGGGGAGAGUGGAAUUCCAUGUGUAGCGGUGAAAUGCGUAGAUAUAUGGAGGAACACCGGUGGCGAAAGCGGCUCUCUGGUCUGUAACUGACGCUGAGGCUCGAAAGCGUGGGGAGCGAACAGGAUUAGAUACCCUGGUAGUCCACGCCGUAAACGAUGAGAGCUAGGUGUUGGAUCCUUUCCGGGAUUCAGUGCCGCAGCUAACGCAUUAAGCACUCCGCCUGGGGAGUACGACCGCAAGGUUGAAACUCAAAGGAAUUGACGGGGGCCCGCACAAGCGGUGGAGCAUGUGGUUUAAUUCGAAGCAACGCGAAGAACCUUACCAGGUCUUGACAUCCCGAUGCUAUUUCUAGAGAUAGAAAGUUACUUCGGUACAUCGGUGACAGGUGGUGCAUGGUUGUCGUCAGCUCGUGUCGUGAGAUGUUGGGUUAAGUCCCGCAACGAGCGCAACCCCUAUUGUUAGUUGCCAUCAUUCAGUUGGGCACUCUAGCGAGACUGCCGGUAAUAAACCGGAGGAAGGUGGGGAUGACGUCAAAUCAUCAUGCCCCUUAUGACCUGGGCUACACACGUGCUACAAUGGUUGGUACAACGAGUUGCGAGUCGGUGACGGCGAGCUAAUCUCUUAAAGCCAAUCUCAGUUCGGAUUGUAGGCUGCAACUCGCCUACAUGAAGUCGGAAUCGCUAGUAAUCGCGGAUCAGCACGCCGCGGUGAAUACGUUCCCGGGCCUUGUACACACCGCCCGUCACACCACGAGAGUUUGUAACACCCGAAGUCGGUGAGGUAACCUUUUGGAGCCAGCCGCCUAAGGUGGGACAGAUGAUUGGGGUGAAGUCGUAACAAGGUA
rnacentral:rRNA from 1 species